rnacentral:rRNA from 1 species
ACGAACGCUGGCGGCGUGCUUAACACAUGCAAGUCGAACGGUGAAGCUCCAGCUUGCUGGAGUGGAUCAGUGGCGAACGGGUGAGUAACACGUGAGCAACCUGCCCCUGACUCUGGAAUAAGCGCUGGAAACGGCGUCUAAUACUGGAUACGAGAAGGGUCCGCAUGGGCACCUUCUGGAAAGUUUUUCGGUUGGGGAUGGGCUCGCGGCCUAUCAGCUUGUUGGUGAGGUAAUGGCUCACCAAGGCGACGACGGGUAGCCGGCCUGAGAGGGCGACCGGCCACACUGGGACUGAGACACGGCCCAGACUCCUACGGGAGGCAGCAGUGGGGAAUAUUGCACAAUGGGCGAAAGCCUGAUGCAGCGACGCCGCGUGAGGGAUGACGGCCUUCGGGUUGUAAACCUCUUUCAGCAGGGAAGAAGCGAAAGUGACGGUACCUGCAGAAGAAGCACCGGCUAACUACGUG